rnacentral:rRNA from 1 species
ACGAACGCUGGCGGCGUGCUUAACCCAUGCAAGUCGAACGGUGAAGCGCCUUCCUUUUUGGUGGGUGUGGAUGAGUGGCGAACGGGUGAGUAACACGUGAGUAACCUGCCCCCUUCUUCUGGAUAACCGCAUGAAAGUGUGGCUAAUACGGGAUAUUCUGGGUCUGUCGCAUGAUGGGUCUGGGAAAGAUAUUGUUUCGGUGGGGGAUGGGCUCGCGGCCUAUCAGCUUGUUGGUGGGGUGAUGGCCUACCAAGGCGGUGACGGGUAGCCGGCCUGAGAGGGUGGACGGUCACACUGGGACUGAGACACGGCCCAGACUCCUACGGGAGGCAGCAGUGGGGAAUAUUGCACAAUGGGCGCAAGCCUGAUGCAGCGACGCCGCGUGAGGGAUGGAGGCCUUCGGGUUGUGAACCUCUUUCGCCAGUGAAGCAGGCCUGCCUCGUUUGUGGGUGGGUUGACAGUAGCUGGAUAAGAAGCGCCGGCUAACUACGUG